rnacentral:rRNA from 1 species
CUUCGGGGGAAAGAUUUAUCGCCUUUAGAGCGGCCCGCGUCUGAUUAGCUAGUUGGUGAGGUAACGGCUCACCAAGGCGACGAUCAGUAGCUGGUCUGAGAGGAUGACCAGCCACACUGGGACUGAGACACGGCCCAGACUCCUACGGGAGGCAGCAGUGGGGAAUCUUGCGCAAUGGGCGAAAGCCUGACGCAGCCAUGCCGCGUGAAUGAUGAAGGUCUUAGGAUUGUUUAAUUCUUUCACCGGGGACGAUAAUGACGGUACCCGGAGAAGAAGCCCCGGCUAACUUCGUGCCAGCAGCCGCGGUAAUACUUUAGGGGGCUAGCGUUGCUCGGAAUUACUGGGCGUAAAGGGUUUCGUAGGCGGAUCGUUAAGUCAGAGGUGAAAUCCCAGGGCUCAACCCUGGAACUGCCUUUGAUACUGGCGAUCUUGAGUAUGAGAGAGGUAUGUGGAACUCCGAGUGUAGAGGUG